rnacentral:tRNA from 1 species
GGGGGGAUGACUCAGUGGCAGAGUGCAGUGCUUAGCAUGCACAAGGCCCUGGGUUCAAUCCCUGGUACUGCUA